AAUACUCAGCGUGAGACAAAGCCUGAAUCCAUGGCCUAAAUGAGACCUAACAUUUUCAGGCUAUACUAAGAGACACCAAGUGUUGCGGGAGGUGUUAGAGUGAAGGGCAGACUGGCAGGAUGGCGGUUGGGUGUACAUGCUCACGCUACUGGAGUGCAGGACUCAGGCACCCUGCUGGCUCUGGCUCAGACUACAACACCACUCAGCCAUCCGUGAGCCGGGCCACACACGCAACCUCUGGGCGGAUUAGCUCUAACUGACUCCAGCAAACUGCACUCCAGCUGCUGCAGGCUUCAAGAAUGAUUCCUUUUUCCAGAUUUGGAUCUAUGAAGAACAGCUCAUGAUGACACAUCUCAUGGCAAGCCACGGAAAAUACGACACCAGCGACUAAAUCUGUGAACAAAGCUCCAACUUGCAGAAAAAGAGAGGACCGAUGACAGAGCCAGGUGGGACGCCAGUUUACGGACAGUGUUAAAUCCGGAGAGCUCUUUUCACUGAUCUGUUCCCAGACAGGUGCAACAGUGCCCCCUGAGAAAGGCGUAACCUCGCGAUGAACCCGCAGCGCGACGCAGAUAUGACAGCUUCAACCAAAGCUCACAUCUCGCAUCCUGGGUUCUCUUCAUCACAGCAACGUUUGAAUUUUAGCAGGAAAACAGCCGUCCUUUGACAACAGAGGCAAAAGAAGACAAGGGGAGGAAAACACGGCGCCCUCCUUGAAAAAAAACAAACGAGAACCUUCGGCGUGACCUUUUUGUUACAUAAAUGUUUUGCUCUUGACACUUCGA